UGCACAAAGGUUCCACUCGAGAGAGCCAGGUGCAGGUACUUACACCCCCACAGAGAAUAGAAUAGAAUGGAAUAGCGAUACAGUUUUUUUUGUCAAACGAAAUCUCCUAACAAUUUUUUUAUCCGGUAGUGUCUCAAAUAAGUUAGUUCUUUCUGCAAUAUAGCGUAAUGAGCGAGGUCUAUUCAUAUAGAGAAGUAAUUCUUCAUCAUCGUCAUCAAACAAAAUAUCCCACAAAUCCAUUAUUUAUUAGAUAACCUCAAUAACCUCUGAACAAUGACCUCUGAAUCUCUCACAGACAACAACUAGACAUCACUGAGGAAAAAUGCUAGAAAUGGAAAAGUUCUCUUGACAGCCGGUCGGUCAGCUGGUCGCCGCGACUGACGCCAUGACAUGCGUAGUAGAUAAAUGUGUUUAGUAAAGUUAAAUAGCCAUUUGACCGCAUUUAGGUUUAACAGAUUACUAAUCAUAUUUAAGUCGUGGUAAAAGAUGUUUUACGAAAUUUAAAUAAAAAUUGUGUUUAAAUAAAAAGUUAAAUACAUUUAUCACGUUGAUAAAAGCCACCCUAAGGGUGGCUUUUAUCAAAGUGAUAAAUGUAUUUAACUUUUUAUUUAAACACAAUUUGGAAUUAAAUUUCGUAAAACAUCUUUUACCACGACUUAAAUAUGAUUAGUAAUCUGUUAAACCUAAAUGCGGUCAAAUGGCUAUUUAACUUUACUAAACACAUUUAUCUACUACACAUGUCAUGGCGUCAGUCGCGGCGAUCAGCUGACCGACCGGCUGUCAAGAGAACUUUUCCAUUUCUAGCAUUUUUCCUCAGUGAUGUCUAGUUGUUGUCUGUGAGAGAUUCAGAGGUCAUUAUUCGGAGGUUAUGUUGAGGUUAUCUAAUAAAUAAUGGAUUUGUGGGAUAUUUUGUUUGAUGACGAUGAUGAAGAAUUACUUCUCUAUAUGAAUAGACCUCGCUCAUUACGCUAUAUUGCAGAAAGAACUAACUUAUUUGAGACACUACCGGAUAAAAAAUUGUUAGGAGAUUUCGUUUGACAAAACAAACUGUAUCGCUUCUAGCGCUUCUACUAUAAGAAAUUCAACAUCAUCUUGACGAAUUUAUUUCCACCAGAAAUAAUGCAGUUUCUCCAAUGAACCAGUUGUUAUGCACACUCCGAUAUUAUGCAACUGGCAGUCAGUUAAUUACUUGUGGAGAUGUGAUAGGUGUGGAAGAACCAACAGCUUGCAGAAUCAUUCAUAGAGUUAGUCAUGCAAUAGCAUAAUUGUAUAAAAAAUACAUUAAAUCUCCUGAUACCAUUCAGGAACAACGUUUUUUUGCUCUCUAUAAUGUGCAAGUAUGGUUCCAAUACAUUGCACAAUAAAUCUUGUUCUUCCCUUGUAAAAUUAGGGGCACGAACACGAGAAGAAGUUGCUUGACUAUUCAUUUUACUUUGAAAUCACAACAACAAAUAAAUACAAACACCACCACGCGGUGAAAGCCGAAAUAAGUUUUGUUUUGAAAUAAGUAGUGUUAUUUUCUCUAUGUUUGAAAUUGAUAGAUUGACUCCGUUUUACGCUGAGUCGUUUCGAAUGUUCAAUAAAAAAUAUGAAGUCUCUCAUUAAAAGAUGUGGAACUGAACGUAAAUAACAAAUCGCAGGAUGCUAAACGCAAUUAACUAAAUAGUAAU